AAAUUGAAGAGUUUGAUCAUGGCUCAGAUUGAACGCUGGCGGCAGGCCUAACACAUGCAAGUCGAGCGGUAGCACAGAGAGCUUGCUCUCGGGUGACGAGCGGCGGACGGGUGAGUAAUGUCUGGGAAACUGCCUGAUGGAGGGGGAUAACUACUGGAAACGGUAGCUAAUACCGCAUAACGUCGCAAGACCAAAGUGGGGGACCUUCGGGCCUCAUGCCAUCAGAUGUGCCCAGAUGGGAUUAGCUAGUAGGUGGGGUAACGGCUCACCUAGGCGACGAUCCCUAGCUGGUCUGAGAGGAUGACCAGCCACACUGGAACUGAGACACGGUCCAGACUCCUACGGGAGGCAGCAGUGGGGAAUAUUGCACAAUGGGCGCAAGCCUGAUGCAGCCAUGCCGCGUGUGUGAAGAAGGCCUUCGGGUUGUAAAGCACUUUCAGCGGGGAGGAAGGCGAUAAGGUUAAUAACCUUGUCGAUUGACGUUACCCGCAGAAGAAGCACCGGCUAACUCCGUGCCAGCAGCCGCGGUAAUACGGAGGG
rnacentral:rRNA from 1 species